rnacentral:rRNA from 1 species
AACGCGAAGAACCUUACCAGGUCUUGACAUCCCUCUGACCGUCCUAGAGAUAGGGCUUUCCUUCGGGACAGAGGAGACAGGUGGUGCAUGGUUGUCGUCAGCUCGUGUCGUGAGAUGUUGGGUUAAGUCCCGCAACGAGCGCAACCCUUGAACUUAGUUGCCAGCACUUUGGGUGGGCACUCUAGGUUGACUGCCGGUGACAAACCGGAGGAAGGCGGGGAUGACGUCAAAUCAUCAUGCCCCUUAUGACCUGGGCUACACACGUACUACAAUGGCCGGUACAACGGGUCGCGAAGCCGCGAGGCGGAGCCAAUCCCAGCAAAGCCGGUCUCAGUUCGGAUUGCAGGCUGCAACUCGCCUGCAUGAAGUCGGAAUUGCUAGUAAUCGCGGAUCAGCAUGCCGCGGUGAAUACGUUCCCGGGCCUUGUA